rnacentral:lncRNA from 1 species
AGGCAAUACCAUAACCUUCCUUUGCUCGAAGUCAAGUAAUGUUUUCCCCCUUAAAUUCUUUUAAAUUGUGAAAAGGCAGAGUUGUGUGUGCAACUUAUGAAGAGGGUGUGUUUGUUGCACGUAAGCAGAGAUAAUUACUAAAGUAUUGAUGAGGAAACUAUUCUUAGUAAAGUCAGAACACUUAAGAAGGAAAUCUGAGCUUUGGAUUUCUUGUACAACCUAGACUUGUAGAUGUAUAUGCAAGUUGUUGUAGUAGGCGUCUUGCGGGGGCACAGGAUAUACGGGACAGGCCUCUCCCUAAGCAUAGAGACAGUGCUAUCGUGCUGACCUUGAUGCAGAGAAAACAGGAGAAGAAGAAGGAUGAGAAAAGAAUGUGGAAACGGCCAAAUAAGGCACAAUGUUAUCUGGUGUGAACCAAUCAGAGUGGGACAUGACAGCACGGUUUUGUAGGAAAGCUACUCUUGCAGGGGAGCUGGACUCAGUGAUCUCUAGAAUUCCCUUCCAACCCCUCCAAUACUGUGAUACAUAUCAGAUAUUCUACUUUUUGCAUUUGGAUACUCUCCUUUGUAAGCAACUCUGCCAGCUCUUGGGGGAUGAACCAUGUCUGCCUACUACCACUGUGCUCACCCUGCUGCAAUAGGAUGAGGAACCUACAUUUCAGCUCUCCCAUUGCGCUUCUGCAGUCAUAGACAUCUUCAUCACAUCUUCCAAAGAAGGAGAGGGAGGGAGAAGGAAGAGGACAGAAGAGAAAAAAAUAAAAGUAGACUGGAAAAGUCACUGCUGAAUUCUGUGGGAAGAAGAAAAGAAGCAAGCCAAUGAAAAAAGUAUCGUUAGAGGCAUGGAAAUCAGCUCAACUAAAAUGCAAACAGUUUUUGGUCAAAAUGAUUACAUUUUGCAUCCUUUACAAAAACAAAUAAAAACAAACAACAACAACAACAACAACAAAAAUACCCUUGGGUUUCGUUAAGUUAUUCUUAGGCUGCACAUGCUGUACAUGCUGCUGUAAGAGAUUAUUCUUUUAUAUCACUGUUUGUUUGCUGAGGAACAAGUCCAGGCAAGUCCUGGGCAAAGGUAGAGAAACCUUCUGUCUGGAGGACACUGAUGGAGAGGUCCUGGGUAAAGGGUUGUGAAAUCCUCUAAUGAGCACAGAUGGACAAGGCCAGGGGCAAUGAGAGAGGGAUAAGCUGCUGAUAAUGGCCGGGAAAUGGUCUUUUGUGUGGACUUAUCUCGAGGAAGAUGGCCAUCUCAGGAGGUACGCACGUGGCUCUUGCUCAAGCACCCAGGGAUGUCACGUAGGCAGGAAAAAAGGAGGAUAAAAGAGGGUUCAACAACCAUGAGGAUAGGUGUCUGCCAUCAGAUCACUCACCACGAUGGACGCAAGGUUUCUGCUAUCAGAUCCCUCACUACGGACUGCAUGCUGAUGGACUUCCCUGGGCCUGCUACCUGAGACCUGCUGCUUCCUCCCGGAUUUACUCUGUGGCUUCUUCCUGGACCCACCCGGUACCUGCACCCUCUCACUGCCCAAGACCGGCCUCGCUGCUCCUGCCCUUCAGCCUCGGAUUGUCAGACGUCAUGCAACGGGACUUCUGCCGGAUCCUGGUGGUGACUAUCCCCGCUUUACACAAUUCUUACUUCUUCCUAUCUUUUCUAUCGCUCGCCUUCCUUUCCCCAUCACCCUAAUCUGUAAUAGUGUCCGUCCUCCCCUUUCUUCG